rnacentral:rRNA from 1 species
AUUGAACGCUGGCGGCAUGCUUUACACAUGCAAGUCGAACGGUAACAGGCCUUCGGGCGCUGACGAGUGGCGAACGGGUGAGUAAUGCAUCGGAACGUGCCCAGUCGUGGGGGAUAACUAUCCGAAAGGAUAGCUAAUACCGCAUACGAUCUGCGGAUGAAAGCGGGGGACCUUCGGGCCUCGCGCGAUUGGAGCGGCCGAUGUCAGAUUAGGUAGUUGGUGGGGUAAAGGCUCACCAAGCCAACGAUCUGUAGCUGGUCUGAGAGGACGACCAGCCACACUGGGACUGAGACACGGCCCAGACUCCUACGGGAGGCAGCAGUGGGGAAUUUUGGACAAUGGGCGCAAGCCUGAUCCAGCAAUGCCGCGUGCAGGAAGAAGGCCUUCGGGUUGUAAACUGCUUUUGUACGGAACGAAACGGCUCUGGUUAAUACCCGGGGCUAAUGACGGUACCGUAAGAAUAAGCACCGGCUAACUACGUGCCAGCAGCCGCCGUAA